GGUCAUGAGUGCCAGCGCGAAGCCCCGGCUUGCUGGACAGCAACCCUCCUUCCGCGGCGGGGUGCUCCGGGUGAGGACCAGGCCGCCCGGCACAAGCCGGACGGCAAGCGCGGCCC
rnacentral:ncRNA from 2 species